GUAUUUUAUGGUAAAAUGGCGUUUAUGGAACGCCAGUAACCGGGGUUCGACUCCCCGUGGGGACGCCA
rnacentral:tRNA from 1 species